rnacentral:rRNA from 1 species
UACGGGGGGGAGCAAGCGUUGUUCGGAUUUACUGGGCGUAAAGGGCGCGUAGGCGGCCAGCACAAGUCAGUUGUGAAAUCUCCGAGCUUAACUCGGAAAGGUCAACUGAUACUGUGCGGCUAGAGUGCGGAAGGGGCAACUGGAAUUCCAGGUGUAGCGGUGAAAUGCGUAGAUAUCAGGAGGAACACCAACGGCGAAGGCAGCUCUCUGGGACGUUACUGACGGCUGAGACGCGAAAGCGUGGGGAGCAAAC